rnacentral:rRNA from 1 species
CCUACGUGAGGCAGCAGUGGGGAAUAUUGGGCAAUGGAGGAAACUCUGACCCAGCAACGCCGCGUGAAUGAUGAAGGUCGUCGGAUUGUAAAGUUUUUUUCUAAGGGAAGAAGAAAGUGACGGUACCUUAGGAAUAAGCCUCGGCUAACUACGUGCCAGCAGCCGCGGUAAUACGUAGGAGGCAAGCGUUAUCCGGAAUGACUGGGCGUAAAGGGUGCGUAGGUGGUUUGACAAGUUGGUAGCGUAACUCCGGGGCUCAACCUCGGCACUACUACCAAAACUGUCGGACUUGAGUGCAGGAGAGGCAAAUGGAAUUCCUAGUGUAGCGGUGGAAUGCGUAGAUAUUAGGAGGAACACCAGUGGCGAAGGCGAUUUACUAGACUGUAACUGACACUGAGGCACGAAAGCGUGGGGAGCAGACAGGAUUAGAUACCCCUGUAGUC